UACGGAGGGUGCAAGCGUUAAUCGGAAUUACUGGGCGUAAAGCGCACGCAGGCGGUUGGAUAAGUUAGAUGUGAAAGCCCCGGGCUCAACCUGGGAAUUGCAUUUAAAACUGUCCAGCUAGAGUCUUGUAGUGGGGGGUAGAAUUCCAGGUGUAGCGGUGAAAUGCGUAGAGAUCUGGAGGAAUACCGGUGGCGAAGGCGGCCCCCUGGACAAAGACUGACGCUCAGGUGCGAAAGCGUGGGGAGCAAACAGG
rnacentral:rRNA from 1 species